rnacentral:rRNA from 1 species
GACGAACGCUGGCGGCGUGCUUAACACAUGCCAGUCGAACGGAAAGGCCCUGCUUUUGUGGGGUGCUCGAGUGGCGAACGGGUGAGUAACACGUGAGUAACCUGCCCUUGACUUUGGGAUAACUUCAGGAAACUGGGGCUAAUACCGGAUAGGAGCUCCUGCUGCAUGGUGGGGGUUGGAAGUUUCGGCGGUUUGGGGUGGACUUGCGGCUUAUUAGGUUGUUGGUGGGGUAGUGGCUUACCAAGGCUUUGACGGGUAGCCGGCCUGAGAGGGUGACCGGCCACAUUGGGACUGAGAUACGGCCCAGACUCCUACGGGAGGCAGCAGUGGGGAAUAUUGCACAAUGGGCGGAAGCCUGAUGCAGCAACGCCGCGUGCGGGAUGACGGCCUUCGGGUUGUAAACCGCUUUCGCCUGUGACGAAGCGUGAGUGACGGUAAUGGGUAAAGAAGCACCGGCUAACUACGUG